UAUGAUGCAUGCUCUUUUUCAUGUAGUGUUGGAUUCGGUUUGCAAAUAUUUUAUUGAGAAUCUUUGCAGCUAUGUUCAUCAACUAUUUUGGUCUGUAGUUUUCUUUUUGUGUUUUGUCUUUGUUUCAUUUUGGUGUCAGAGUACUGCUGACCUCAUAAAAAGAGUUUGGCAAAGUUCCAUUCUUUUCAAUCUUUUGGAAUAGUUUGAAGAGUUAGUUCCUCUUUUAAAAUGUUUCGUAGAAUUCAGUUGUAAAGCCAUAAGGUCCUGAACUUUUCUUUGAUGUGAGACUUUUAAAUACUGCUUCAAUGUCAUUACUUGUUAUAGGUUUGCUUAGAUUUUAUGUAUCUUCUUGACCUAAUCUUGUAUCUCCACAGUGGAAUAAGCCAACUUGUGAGCACUUAAUUCACCCCUGUCUCAGUGACCAUGCCUGGUCCAGCCAUGCCAACUAAGGGGUCUUGGACUGAGUUCAAACAGAUAACACAGUCCUAGCAUUCAAAAUGUUCAAGAAAUACAGAUGAAAUCAAGCGAAUGGGAGCAAAUACAAUGGACUUCUCAUCAACAAUUCUGGCAUCCUAGGGACUAGUCCACAGCUCUGCAAGUCUCCGGUCCAGAGGCUUGACUGCAUGUUUUACAAUGUGGAUCAUUUAAAUUUCUCUUCGUUGUAAAUUUUCUUUGAUUGCCAUCUUUGCCUGGCCCAACAGCAUCUGGAAGUUGCCCGUUACCCUGUAUAUGAGGACCUGAGGUGUUCCCCUUCCAGCCCGUGUACCCACAAGGGGCCCAUCCCUGUCCUCUCCAGGAGGGUGAGGGAGGACCAGCCCCUUCACCUCAGUGAGGGCCCCUUGGCAAGUUGUUUUAGCUCCAUGUAUCACACAAGAGGGUUGAGGCCCGAAUGGAGCGAAGUGGGCUGGCUGAGCAGGAACAGCUUUUCCAGACCACCUGUCAAAGAAGAGGGACGAAAGAGUCAAGGGAAGUGGGGAGGCGCUCAAACCACAGGCUUUGGCCACACAGCAGGGAACCUUGUGGCAGAGACUGCCCUUAAAGGCCUGAGCUUGGUCUAACGGGCCCUGGUGAUCCAAGAUGGGAGCCCGAACACAGCCAACAUAGUGCCAGGAAAAGAGCUCCUCACUUGGAAGAUUCCCCAGCAAACCAGAAGGCAAACACAUGCCUUCACAGUGUUUUCUUCUCAUGCAUUUCCCUGCCUGGGAUAGUUCAAGUUUGUUUUGUUUUGUUUUUCUCCUUUGUGCUCCUGACCACCUCUGAUCUGGUAUUUAUUCCAAGGAAAUUUCAAAAUAAAAAUAUGCCUGUCCUCAUUUGUCUUCCUGUUCUGAGGUAUAGUGAUUGUCCCCAUAAGCCAGACAGUUUUAAUGUAGCAGAAACAAUUAGAACUGUUGCUGUGAUAUUAGAUGCUGGAGGAGAGGGCAGAGUUGGGGCAGGUGGAUUUGGCCAAUAAAAUACAGAUGGAAAACAAGAAACUGGAGAGAAGGUUCCCAGCAUUGCCCCAUGCUGCAGUCCCAGGGUGCUUCAUGGAGCACCUAACCAGGCCUCCUUCACUCCAGAUGUUGCUCACAUUUUGGACUUUCUUGCUCCCUGUUGCAAGACUCCCUUUGACCACACCAGUGCUGCCCCCCACGGAUAGGACAUAGCUACAGCUAAAGCUCAUUCCUGUUCCUAGGCCACCACACUCUUUCUGCUGAGACCACUGGUCAGGCUUGUGGCUACAACAGCAUCACAUUUGAGGGCGUGUGACCCCUGUUACUCGUCAUUCACAUUUGAAGGCGAUCCAGGAGACAGUUCCCUCCACAGAGGAUAAAACAUCUACCAACCAUCCUGAAGAAUGUGUGAUAAUGCACUGCAGCAGGUUUUCUGUUUAUUUCUUUGAUCCAUGGAUGAUACUUUCCAAUCCGCCUAUGAGUCGAGUUCCAGAUCAUCUUCCUGGAGCACAUCUCUGAGAAUGCCAUUCAAGCUACUUGUGUAUUUCCUUUUUGGCCUUUGCUUCAUGAUAGUUCCUUGGCCUUGGGUGGCUUUCCCUUUGUGUUUUCAGUCACUAUUCAUACUUUGAGGUCUAUUUCUAAUUCCAGGUUCUCCACCAUAAAGUCUUUCCUGAGGACAUUAUGGGCAAGAUCCUAUUCUGUAGAACUGGCAUUGUCUGGGUUUGAACUCCAAAUUAUUCAUUUGAAAGCUGUGGGGCUUAAAGCUAUUUGUUUAAUUUUUUUCUCAGUUGCCAUAUCUGCAAAGUGGGAAUAAUAUCAGUAUCCAUUUCAGAGGACUGUAGAGAAUAUUGAAUGAGUUAGAACAUGUGAAGUACUUCAAAGGGCCAAGUGCUCAAUAUCAUCUUCUCUAUACAAUCAUGGUGAUUUUUACUUUCAAAAUAAUUUUAGCACUUGCCUUAAUUCCUUGAAUAAACAGUUUUCAAGGCCACAUGUGGUAGGCAUUCUGCUACACAUUGGGAAGAAAAUCGCAAGAGUCUAGGAUGCUGUGUUUUCAGUGUUGUAUGUUUGUUUCCUGUCCCUGCUCUCAGGCUGUGAAGUCUAUGAAGGUAGGAACAUUCAUUCUUUUCUGAAGAUAAAUAUCGCUCAGUGAAUGCACUCUGGGUUGAGUUAAAUUUGUAUAUGGGUCAAAAAUCCACCAUGGGGAUAGACCCUGUUGGAUAUCUAUUUUACUGUUUGUUAAUGCUUGGUCUCAUAAAAGAUAUAUACAUGUUUAUUAUUGUUACUUAAUAAGUUAGUAUUACUUGCAACUCACAGUUCAAGAAAAUAGUGUAUAGAAUAUAAGAGAGAAUGUAACAGAACAGAACAUGAAAGAAUAAUGUAUCAAUAACAUAGCCACCACCACUGCUAUCAUCAAAUCCCAUCCUGUGUUCUGCCACCAUAAUUGCCACCAUCACCAUCACCACCACUACCACCGUAACUAUCACGACCACAUAUGAGGUACUACAAAAGGUUUAUAGAAAAUGGAAUUAAAAGAUGAUAAGUUUAUUUUGGUACU